UACGGAGGGUGCAAGCGUUGCUCGGAAUUAUUGGGCGUAAAGGGUAGGUAGGUGGUCUCAUUUGUCAGGGGUGAAAGCCUUGGGCUUAACUCAAGAAGUGCCCCUGAAACGGUGAGACUCGAGUGCUGGAGAGGGUCGUGGAAUUCCCGGUGUAGCGGUGAAAUGCGUAGAGAUCGGGAGGAACACCAGAGGCGAAGGCGGCGACCUGGACAGCUACUGACACUCAACUACGAAAGCGUGGGGAGCAAACAGG
rnacentral:rRNA from 1 species